GCCUAGAUCUCCUAAAUCAGGAGACUCUGGAGUCACUCUCUUACUGUGUGUGUACGUGUGCAUGUGUGUAUAUCUGUGAGAGGGUGUGUGUGUGUGUGUGUGUGUGAGUGGGCAUGUGUGUAGGUGCCUGUACAUGCAUGAGUGCGGGUAUGUGUACAUGUGUGUGUCUACAUGCAUGCAUGUGGGUGUGUGGCUGUGUGUUGACGCAUGUGUAUAGGUAUGCAUGCAUGUAUGUAUGUAGGUGUGUACAUGCAUGUGUAGGUGUGAGUACCUGUAUGUGUGCAGCUGUGUGUGGAUGCAUGCGUGUAGGUGUGUGUACGUGUGUGGGUGUGCGUGCAUGUAUGUGUGCAGCUGUGUGUGCAUGUGUAGGUGUGUACACGCAUGUGUAGUUGUGCCUACAUGUAUGGAUGUAGGUGUGCCUACAUGUAUGCGUGUGGGUGUGCAUACACGUGUGCGUGUAGCUGCAUGUCCGUGUCCUACACUCCCCUGCUCUUCCACCGCCAUCAGGCUCCCUGCUUCCUGCCCCCAAACGGCUGCUCUGUCUACGGGGAGACAGUUUCUAGAGCAUCGACAACCUGGGUUGGGCCUGGACUGCUCGCCUUGGCCAUGUGCCGCUUUCAUGACCUUGACAAUAUGUGCCCUGUGCCUCAGUUUCCUCGUCUGCAAGCCUGGCAGUUGAACCGUUGUCUUCAUGUCAUGGGAGCGGAGCCCAGCGUGCCACACAAGCUAAGCCCGGGGGCCAGACAGGGGCUGCAGGCGGAGGUCAGGUCGGGCGUCCCCGGGGCCUGGCCGCAAGAUCAGCAGAGAAGCAGCAGGGGCACCGCUUGUGCACCACGGGCCGGGCGCCGGCAAACCUCCCUGGACUCGUGGGCACCAGGAGAGCUUAUGGUCUCACAGGGGACAGCCGAGUGGAGACUUCUGCUCUACGCACCCAGCGUUAGGAAGCAUCCCGUCGUGUCUACUCGGUUAUAACCAGUCUUAUCUACGGGCCACUGACAACUAAUUUAUUCUUGACUUUCGAGCAUUCAUCAUCACAAGUCCCGAUGGUCUCAGCGCAGUAAACACUUGUCCUGCCUGAACAUUCCUGCCGCUUGCUCCUCCUCCAAGUCAUCGAGUCGGGUCACUACCCAGAAGGUCUCUGGCUGCUGCAGAACCGGAGGCGCAGGCUCCCCACCCAACAGCUGGGGUUGAAUCCUGGGGCAGCAGCAGAUAAUUUCUUGCUUUCAGAAUUCAGAGAAAAGGCCUAUGGAGCAGGAGGCUGGCCCAGGGGUGGACCCAGAAGCCCGUCAAGGCGGCCGGAGGGAGUGGGUCACCAGUAGCCGGCAGAGAGGAGGGCCCCCCCGCAGCUUGACACCUCCGUGGCCCGCGCGCCUCCGAGGGGAGCCAAGCGCCCUGGGAAGCAGAAUGCAAACUCUCACUCGUAAGCUCCCCCUUUUUAAAAAGUCUAUGAAAUCGACCCGUACGUUGUGGAAAAUCCUGCGUCACGGGCCAGGGAAAGCCUAACACUGGGCUUCGUCAGGCUGGAAGCAGGGACAGACCAUUAAGGGAAACGCAACCGUGCACCGUGCGCACAGCUGCCCCAGUGAGCUGGUCCGCCAGCUCGGCUCCCCUCCCUCUUCCCAGUCCUCGUUCCCUCUCGCUUCCUUCCCCAUCUUUCCCGCUCACCUGCGUUGGUUCCUCUUUCUUCAGGAGAGGCUCGGUGCAUGCACUUGACGCCUUCCUGAGUGUCCGCCGCGGAGCCGUCGCACUGUCUCCCGCUGGGGGGCCUGUGCUGCUCGGCGGCAGGACCGGGCACGGGGCUCCUUCCACGACCGGGGGCCUCGCGCACACCUGCUGGCUCCCGAGGGACCGACAGACAGCAUCUCUGCUCCCCGCCGGGCUCCGAAGCAGCCUGGGGGCAAACACAGACUCUGCAGAAAGGAUGAAGAUGUCACCUCGACACAAACGGAAGGCUCUGUCGGAGGACGUGGCGCCGGCCUGCGUCGGCAGCAGGUGCAGCUGGGACGUAGGCUUCUCCUGGGACACCAACCCGUUAGGACUUUGCUCAUAACCAAGAGCAAAUGAGACACCGGCCCCUAGUUAGCGGCCUAGCGAUCAAGUGUGAGCCUCCUUUUUUUAAAAAUUUUUUUAUUUAUUUUUUAUCGGUAUUCAAUUUGGCAACAUAUAGCAUAGCACCCAGUGCUCAUCCCAUCAAGUGCCCCCCUCAGUGCCCAUCACCCAGUCACUCCAACCCCCUGCCCUCCUCCCCUUCCACCACCCCUAGUCCGUUUCCCAGAGUUACGAGUCUCUCAUGUUCUGUCUCCCUUUCUGUUAUUUCCCUUUUUGGGGAAGAACGACAUAGGAGUGGAGGGGGCAGGGUGUUCUCGUGCUCAGGAGGAGCCGCCAAGCCUGGAGAGCAGGUGCUCCCCCUCUCCGUGCCCUGCAGCAAGAAGAGGCUCAGCCAGGUGGACUCCUGAUCUCCUCCCCCCCCCAAAAAAAAUGACACUAAAGGCAAAAUUGUAGGCAUCAGUGGAGGAGAGGUUUGUGCAAGGUUUUGGACAGUUGCCUCCUCCUGCGUGAGACUAGCACACCUGUCAUCUCACUAUUGGGUAGCCCGUCACUCUCAGAAACCUCCCGGGGGGCACUAGAUGGCAUUUGGAACCAAGCUCGACCACUUCUUCCCCAAACUCUCAUCAGGUCUCAAUGUCCUAUGAGACCAAGCCUAAACACUUCAGGCUGGUAUGACAUAAUCAGCUUAUUUUCCCCAAUAUUCAUUUUCUCCCUCUUGCUUUUUUUUUUUUUUUAAAUACAACCUUCACCCCCCAAACCUGCCGCUGAGGUUUAACGGGGCACAGGCCUGCUCAGCAAACGACGGUUUUUCCCAGCUUCCCACGUGGCCACUUCUAGCCUGUGGGAUAUGAGGCACCGUGGGCAACAUCCGAUCUCCCCCUUUAGGGAAAACCACGUGCCCUCAGCCCGGAACGGAGACGUGGUGGAGGUAAAGCAGCUUGCACCCGGCAGCCGGCAUCUCAGGGGGCAGCGGUUCAGUAAGGUGGAAGGAACGCGGGUCCUUAGAUGACUUGUGGAGUAGAGCCAGUUGCUCCUUUGGGCCUCCUACCAGCGUAGACAUUUACGCGAUUUAGAACUCACCCUUCUACUCUGCUUCCUGCUAAAAUGACCAAGCGAAUAGACCACUACCGGCACGUUAGCCUCUAUGAUUUCCACUCACCGUCCUCCCGUUUCCCUGCCCAGCCCUCUGGGAACCUGCAGACGUGCUCCUGAGCUUGACACGUGCAUCCUUGCUCUGUGCCCCCAAGAAGUUUGCACGGGGGAUGCCCUCAUCACCUCUUCUUCCUCUGCCCGGGCUCCCCCAUGCAUCGAGGUCCAAUUCACACUCACUUCAUUUUACUCGUUUAACAGAUAAUGAUUAAAUCCCUACUCUGUGUCAAUCACUGGGUGAUUCUCACCUACAAUUUAAGGGCGGUUGUUGCAAAAUGUCAGUUACUACGUGCAACUCACCUGCCCCACAGAUCCCAAGUCCCCAUGUGGACCUCCUGCCACGGGCCCCACUCACCAUAUUGACUCCUGGUCAACGGCAUCCAAAUUAGGUCUCAAAGCGUUUCUUACGCAGCAGGGAAUUUGACUCUUUGGGCCUUUGUUCCCAGUUCCUGGAAGGUAGCCUCUAAAUCCUUGAAACCUCCCAAGUGACGAGGUGUCUUUGUUAUUCAUGGUGAGCUGUGACAGUCUAUGUUACCCGUGUGACUCGUGGUGGGCCUAUUUAGAUCUAAACAUCUUGUGCUAACGCCUGCCUCUGGACUGGCGCCAGCCAUGCCGGAAGGACCCAGUGUGAUUAGAGGUUUGACGCUUUGAGCUACGUGAUAGCAGCCUGGCCUCUGGCGAAGGAAGGGAGCAGAAAAUUGAGUUCCAUCAUGUGGCCAAUGAUUCAAUCAAUUACGCUUAUAUGUCAAGCCCCUGAUAAAAACUCCAGACACCAACCCUUGGAUAAGCUUGGUGGACCACGCCCUGUGCGUUUCCUUCGUUGAUGUACUUCCUGGGAAGGUGAUGCCUUCUGACUCCACGGGGAGAGAACAUGGGAGGUUUGCCUUUGGAACCUCCCAGAUCCCACCCCAUGUGUCUCUUCUUCUGGCUUGUUCGAAUUUGUAUCCUCUUUGCUAUUAAAAAAAAAAAAAAAAACUCAUAAUCCUAAGUAUUGCAUUUCCUAAGUAUUCCCCUAAGUAUUGAAUCUCAGCAGUUCUAGCAAAUUAUCAAACCUGAAGGGGUAGAGCGACCCCCUAUAUUCGUAGCACUUGAUCAGAAAUGAGCUUGGUGUCUGGAUCCCCGGACUCGCACCUGGUACCUGAAGUGAAGGCGGUCUUGUGCAGGGCUGUGCCUUUAGCCUGUAACGUUAGAUUUGGGAGUGGUUAGUAGCAGAAGUCAGCAUAGCAUUCUUCCCUUGGGCUGGAAUCUGAAUUACCCAACUGUGUGCUGCAUUCGCUCAACCAAUGAGCAAAACUACCCUGAGCAUUGGCUACGUGUCAUUGAAUUGGGGGCUGAGUAAAAAUAGAUGAAUUAAUUCCAAUCCCUGCCUUCAAGGGACCUGGAAUCUAGCACAGAAGGAAGUUGUAAAUGUAUGAUAACUCUUCAUAGAACCACGUGCAAUGGGUACCAUCAAAGGGAGGAUCAAGGGCGGCCCCAGUGGCCCAGCGGUUAGCGCCGCCUUCAGCCCAGGGCGUGAUCCUGGGUCCCGGGAUCAAGUCCCAAGUCGGGCUCCCUGCAUGGAGCCUGCUUCUCCCUCUGCCUGUGUCUCUGCCUCUCUCUCUCUCUCUCUCUCUCUCUCUGUGUGUGUGUCUCAUGAAUAAAUAAAUGUUUUUUUUAAAAAAAGGGAGGAUC
rnacentral:lncRNA from 12 species